CCGAGAAUAUUCGACAAUGGGCGAAAGCCUGAUCGAGCGACGCCGCGUGCAGGAAGAAGCUCUUCGGAGUGUAAACUGCUUUUCUUCGGGAUAAAAAUCACCGCAAGGUGGCUUGAUAGUACCGAAGGAAUAAGGGGCUGCUAACUUCGUGCCAGCAGCAGCGGUAAUACGAAGGCCUCAAGCGUUAUUCGGAUUUAUUGGGCGUAAAGGGUGCGUAGGGGGUUUGGUAGGUUAGUAAUUAAAGGCUCGGGCUUAACCCGAGAAAUGUUAUUAAUACCGCCGAACUAGAGAAGGUGAGAGGUGGAUGGAACACACGGUGUAGGGGUGAAAUCCGUUGAUAUCGUGUGGAACACCAAAGGCGAAAGCAUUCCACUGGCGCUUUUCUGACCCUGAGGCACGAAAGCGUGGGGAGCAAAAAGG
rnacentral:rRNA from 1 species